CUAUCGGGGUUUGAUUAGCCAUGCGAGUCGAGAGGGUUUUGGCCCUCGGCGAACUGCUCAGUAACACGUGGAUAAUCUACCCUGGGGAGGAGGAUACUCCCGGGAAACUGGGGUUAAUACUCCAUAGCAAUGAUGCACUGGAAUGUCAUCGUUGCGAAAGAUCCGUCGCCCCAGGAUGAGUCUGCGUCCGAUUAGGUAGUUGUUGGGGUUACUGCCCAACAAGCCGAUAAUCGGUACGGGUUGUGGGAGCAAGAGCCCGGAGAUGGAUUCUGAGACACGAAUCCAGGCCCUACGGGGCGCAGCAGGCGCGAAACCUUUACAAUGCGGGCAACCGUGAUAAGGAAACCCCGAGUGCCCGUAAGAGCGGGCUGUCCAUCUGUUUAACCAGCAGGUGAAGAAAGGGCCGGGCAAGACCGGUGCCAGCCGCCGCGGUAAUACCGGCGGCUCGAGUGGUGGCCACUAUUACUGGGCUUAAAGGGUCUGUAGCCGGCCAGGUAAGUCCCUUGGGAAAUCUGGCAGCUCAACUGUCAGGCUGCUAGGGGAUACUGUUUGGCUUGGGACCGGGAGAGGUGAGAGGUACCUUGGGGGUAGGGGUGAAAUCUUGUGAUCCUCGAGGGACCACCAGUG
rnacentral:rRNA from 1 species